CACACACACCCUCCAAAACAAAAACAAAAACAAAAAAAAAAAGAAAAGAGAAAAGAAAAAAUGCUCCAAUAUUUAGAUUCAACCUAUUGGAUCUUCGUUGCUGAAUCGUGGAAACUUGUUUCACUUUCUGCAUAUAAAUUGCACCACUACUAUUGGAAUUCCCCACCUUCCAUAAAAAAAGGUCAAAUUCUUCUUAUUUUCGCUACCUUACAUAAGAUCCUUAUUUAUAAUAUUCACAAAGUAGCAGAACUGCAAUAAAAAAACAGCCCAAUUCUUAUCUAUAUGUAAUAAAUCAUUGAACUUUCUAAAUUAACCCAAAAUUUAAUCUUAGCAGAACUUGUGAUGAUGUUUAUUUAUUUAUCAUUAUUGUUAUUUUAAUAUUGAGUUCGACUAUAGUUGCGUGAAGUGUGAAGCGAAGUGGCAACAAAUUCAGGUGUGGGAGUGGUGAAGUCUUUGUUUCAAAAUGCUAGCAAGUAUAAACUACUAGUAAGCAUGAGGAGCAGGAUUUUAAACAUAUGCAGCACUUGAUUGGAAUGAUCAUGUAACUAAGAACGCAACCAUUACAAAAUAAUAGGGCUUUAUCUAUAUUUUUUGGUGUAGAAGCGUGCAGGUUGACUUAAAUGGGCUCUUAUCGCGAUACAAAGCCAACAAUGACAAUCACACUGCGAAAUGUCCAUGGACUAUUACGUAGCGCUUCUGGGAGUUUCAUGCUCUCAUUGCUAGUCCUAGGCCUGGAUAAAGGAGGUGGUUAUGUCAGUUUGGCAGCUGGUGUGGAACUUUUGCCUCAAGUUUCAUCAUAAAUCUUGACAUGGUGGCACAUUAUUUGUGUAACAGUGACCCAAUCAGUUGGAAUAAGGCUUAGCUGCUGAUGAUGACAGUUAUAUCUAUAACGGAAACAGAAGGCAAUAUACUUGUAGACACCUCAAUAUCUGACUGCAAAUGAGGACUUUUACUCGCAUCAAGAUCUUACUAAUUGAACAUUCAGAUCUUGCAAAUCUGUGGAGCAGGAUUAGGUGGCAGUUAAACAAGUUGCUCGAAAAGGGUCAUGUAAGGCCCAAUACAUCCUCUUGUACCUCGUCUGUGGUCUUGGUGCUGAAGAAGACUCGUGGCACGUGUGUGGAUUAAGAUUCUUGAUUGGGAGAAGAUGGUUGGGCUUUGUAAGCUUGACCUCAUUAUGUCUAGGGGGUUGUUCCGUGCCAGGACCAUCCCUACAUGUAGCGGUUGGGCGCUGCUCGUAUUUUAGGAGACCCCGACCUUUGCCAAAAACCAUUGAGCAGCCCAUUCUCUCUCGACUCCCCAAAGAUCCUUCCACUGCCGAGAAGAGGAAAAUGUGACUCUUUAUAUGUGUGCGUGCGUGCUGGCUGCUUCCCCCGCAUCCUUUUGGGCCUUCCAGUUACCCUUUUAGAGCCUUUAACUUGUGAUAAUUCACUCCUAACUGGCUCCAUUCUGUCUCUAUUGCACAUGACUAAACCGUGUAAGUCUACUUCGCCUCAUCUUAUUACAUAUUGCUGCUACUCCUAAAUUUCCACGAAUGCAUUCAUUUCUAAUUCUAUCCUUGUCUUGCCACUCAUCCAUCUCAACAUCCUCAUUUUAACUACACUCAUCCCAUGAACAUGUUCCUUAACUGGCCAACAUUCUUUCCCGUAAUGCAUGGCUGGUCUUCUAAGUAUAUUUGAAAAGUUAACAGAGGUCAUUAAAAAACUAGAGCAGGGGAAAGGAAUUCCCAAUACAGAGAUAGCGGCAUGAAGUCCCUGUGAUUGCAUGGUCAAGCACCAAUGGAUUGGGCUUUCUGAUCGAGGGGGUAAACAAAAUAUUUAGUGCCUUAGCCAAAGACCUCAUCUCAUUGAAGGUACAGUCCACGUUCCAUGGAUAGGCCAUGGUCCCCUUAACCUAACAGAAAACACAAUUGUCAAACACCUCCACUGAAAUGGGGAGCUUGGAGAACUGAUUGAAAACAAUACACUCUCUAACUGCAAGCACAAUGGAUCUACUCCUCAAUUCAUUUUGUAUUUCGGUGUUGCCGGGUGACAUGGAGGCGAUGUUUUUGUUGUGGCAUGGGGCAAGCCUCAGGAAACAAGGGAGGGCUGUGUGGAGGUCAGUGUUUUAAAUAGCGUGUAGCAUACAGCGUACUGUUCAGCCCUCUAUAGUGCGUAUAGAGUAAGCUACACAAUACUUUUAUUUUUAUUUUUAAAUUAAAAUAAUUUAAAAUUGGAUAAAUAAUAUAAAUAAAAUUAAAAAUAAUAAAGAAAAUUAAAGAAAAAGGCAUAUGAUGUCAACAAGUAACUGACAAGUAACAACUACUAACUGAACAGUCAGUCAGCCCUAAACAAGUAACAGUUAACCAUAACUGAAAGUAUGGUCUAAAAAUCCAACUUUACAAGUUAACCAAUCACAUAAGAGCUCGGUCAGUCAGUCCUAAAACUGAACAGUGACUGUACACAACACAAUCAACACCAAAACAAGCCAUUUCUGACAUUCUGUUCCUCUCACAAUCCCUCUAGAAAAGCUUGCUCUUGGGUGACCCGUUUUGCAUGAGCAGCGCAAGAUUAAACUGUACACAAUUGGAGGAAACAAUGUCCCAAAUAUUGUUGAUAGUUCACCGGAGAUCCUUGCUUUGUAGUGUGUCAAUAAGUCGGGUUCCCAGACCCACCUCAAAGUGGUGGUUUUUCCUCCUAACUUGUUGUAUGGAAGUUCUAGGAAAAACUAAACACACCCAUAAUUGCUAUCAUGCGGAAAUAGCACUGUGAAUAUGACAUGGAGGGCAUGGGGCCUGCCAAAAGCUGGAUUAGGCUUAAUACUGAUUUUCCGAUAUACCUUACCCAAAUGGACCCUCACCAAAUUUUUUUGGGAUCAUUCACUUUUAAAUUCUCCUCUUUGGGAAUUUUCGGACCAAAAGAGCUGAUCAUUCAUUAAAAUCCCUUCUGGAAAAACUUUUUACAACAACACCCUUCAUAAUACAAAAGGUUUGACAAGAUAGGGGGUGGAUCCCCCUUCUAUUCCAAUCCUUUUGUUGUAGCUAUUAUUCUCCCUGCCCCAGGGGUUGCUUUUACUCUCCUUGAAAUCCCUCAGCUGGAUGCUGCAAUUUGGAAGAGAUGUUAGCAAUGUCGAAAGCAGGCCUGAUUCUCUAUUGAGUGCUGUGAUUGCCUCCAAGCAAUUUUCUUCCUCUUCUUUCUGGCUAACAUAACCCCCCAUAGGUUGAUAUAAGAGCUUGAGCCAUCAUGAGUGGGCCAUUGAUCUCUGUUCGGGGAAAAAGAAAAGAAAAGAAAAGAAAAAGAAAAAGAA